rnacentral:rRNA from 1 species
CAAGCGUUAUCCGGAUUCACUGGGUUUAAAGGGUGCGUAGGCGGCUUCUUAAGUCCGUGGUUAAAUCUCCAAGCUUAACUUGGAAACUGCCAUGGAUACUAUUAGUCUUGAAUGUUGUGGAGGUUAGCGGAAUAUGUCAGGUAGCGGUGAAAUGCAUAGAUAUGACAUAGAACACCAAUGGCGAAGGCAGCUGGCUACACAAAUAUUGACGCUGAGGCACGAAAGCGGGGGGAGCAAACAGG